rnacentral:misc_RNA from 1 species
UUUUUUGAAUGGAUAUAAGCCAAGAACAAAAAUCAACAACAAAAAAAAGGCAGGUGAAAUGCCAAAACUGCAUGGAGCUUUAUGUUAUUAUUACCACAACAUUCCCCCCACACAAAGAUUUGAAGCCAAGAUGGUGAAGAUAAAAGACCUGAAAAGAAUAUAUAUAUAAGCACACUUUUAUUAAAAACAAAUGAAAUGAUGAAUGGACUGCCUUUUUACACUCUGCUGUACAUAAUUCCAUCCUCAGUUGUACAUUACAUCCUAAACUGUCUGCAUUCACAAUCAUCUAAUCACUACAGAACAAAUUUUCAAUUGAAAAAUGAAAAACAAAAAUGCAAGCUCACAACAAACCUGUGACCAUAAACAAUACCAAACAACUAACUCAACCAAAAAGAGGGGGAAAUUUUUAUAAAGCUAGAAGUUCAAACCAACAGAUGGAAAACAGAAAAAUGGGGAAAAAAUCUCUGGUUUUGUCCAUCAAUCAAGAAAACAAGCUUCCCGGGACCAGAAGCAGCUAAAAAUGCACUGAUGCUGUCCCUUUCACUUCUGAAAAACUGAGCUCCCUUCACUGCAGGAAGAAAUUGAGUGCAGCAUUUAGAAUACUUGAUAGAAAUUAAAGAUGCAAAAAAUGUUUCUUUCUAGGGGAAAAAGUUGUACAGAUUCACAAAUAAGCUUUCUUCCACCUGCAGCUCAGGCUGCAGGAAGCUGAAGGAAAAGCAGAGAUAUGAAGGAGACUCAGAACAAUUGAAGGGCCAUUUUAAGUUUGUUCUGUUUCCAUUUUGGCAUCUUAUAAAAGGCAUCCUUUGCCAUCCCAAAUUUCUCCCUAAACUCUGCUGAUGAGAGGUAAGUCUCUCGCUUUGUCACAUCAAUUUCAGUAACAGGAUCUGUUGAGCUAAUUUUAAGGCGUUCAUAUGGAAAUAUUGGGAGGCCUUCCUCAUCCUCAACUUCACCUUCCUUCACAUCCUCCUGUAUGGUGAGGGAUUCUAUUCUGCUGCUUAUAGAGUUCUCCUUAUUGUUUGACUCAGGUGUUGAUUUUUCAGGAGUUGAUUUCGGUCUUUCAGGGCUCGCUUUGACAGACCGAGGCAUGAUAACUUGUCUUGCUGGUGGCGGUUGUUCAAAAGAUGCACUAAGCGCUGUUAUAGCUGCAGAUUUGGAAGCCUGUUUUGCUGAAUCUGGGGUCACAGAUCUUGGAUAAAGCUUUCUGACAACUGGUGGUGGGGUUGAAAGGUUCCUGCCAUUAGGGUUCUCAAAAUUAGCAGCCAGGGCACUGAAAGCCGGCGACCUGCCCCUGACACGAACUCUUUCAGGACUGAAAGACAUGCUUCUGGAACGUUGAGAUUUUUCUGGCACACUAGACCUUCCUCCAUAGGAUACAGGUGUUCUUCGUUUGGGUUUAUCAACAAUAGGAGUACCCCCAUUUUUGACAAUUGCAAGCUUUCUCUGGAAUGAGUUUCCAUGCAUAGCAGAUUUUGCAGAGUCCCAUUCAAAGAAACGUGUGAAGAAAGGUGGCUCACUCCCUUCCAUAACAAUGUAUAUGGGAGUUUCACGAGAUAACUUUUCCAACAGAAAAUCAUUUUCAAGAAAUUUCUCUCCAAUAGUUAAAGCAUGCAAUUUGCUCCUGGAGUCAACCUCUUGCCCUACCCAGACAAAGAUCUCGGAGUGACAAUCCAAGAUGUAUAUGUCUUCAGUCAUCAAAUCAUCUUGGGUAAAGUUGUAUAUCUCAGCCACCUUCAGAUUUCCGUUUGAGAAUGUGCAAGAGAAAAGGCGAGGAUCCUUUUCAGCUUCCCUUCCAAUUUUUUGGCUGGGAUAUUCAGUUUUUCCUCCUAACAGAUCCCAAAAUUGCUCAGAUUCUGAACCUUCCUUUUGUGGCUUGGACUGUACAUUUGGCUUUAUCAGAUCCAACUGCCUUUCCACAAGUUCAUGGUCAUCUGAAGUUGUAAGGUUUCCAGACCAUGUAAAUACAGAGGAGUCAUUGUGCAAUAUGUAACAGUAAGAGGAAUUCAGUGACGAUGCAACUGGUUCAACUUGUAUUGAUUGCAUAUUAUCCGGUCCAGAACCCUGAACCCGGAAUAAUGCAACGCUGUCCUCCUUAUAUGUCUCAUCUGGGAGUUCCGUCUCCGCAAUAUAAUUCUUGUAUCCAGUGCUAAGACCACCCUUAAAAACAAUAAAGCUCUGCAAGAUUGUAAAGAACUGAAUUGGUUCAUUUCCUUCAUAGAUGCGAGCCUGGGAGGGCAGAAACUUUAAUGAUUCAACCAUCUUGCUUGCUAGUGAAAUAGCAGAAGCUCUUUCCUCCUCAACGCUCUUCUUCCCAAACCAUGUUCCUAUAAGAUAUUCAUCCUUGUCUUCUCCUGGAUAUGAAUAUUGAAAAAUAUAGCAGUCUCCACCGUAAAAUUUUGAAUGAUCUGAAGCGUCAAGGAGAACCUUGUCCUUGCCAUCCACACGCCAAACCUGCAGAUUUCCUGUGACAUCAAUAUACGGUUGAGGUUCUUCCUUUGCAGGAGCAGCUUUCAAAAGGCCCUUGACAUUUACCCCCUGCCGUCUUAGAAGUGCUGCAACUUUGCCUCUACCAUCCUCAGACACAGCUACAUCAGUUGUCUCUGGCCAUGAUUCAAACUUUGACCGAAACAUCACUGUCUCGAAACCCUCGAUUACACGAAUAAUGUGGGACUUUGGUCGAUCAGCUCCACGGACUAACUCCUCUGCAGCUCCACUUGCAACCUUUCUUUCAUCAAGUGAGGUAUUUCUCCCCAUCCAUACAAACACUUCCAAUCCACAAUCUAGAAUAUAGCACUUGUAUGUGUCUAGUAAUUCCCUUGUCAAAGAAUCUGUAUCAACAGGUUCUGCCUGCCCCUUCUCAACCCAAAACAGCUUAGUCGGAGAAUCAGCUAUCUUAUCCUCAUCAGUUGUUGUUUUCCUAGGAAGUGGAGCAAAACCGCCAAAGAAACCCCAGAAUUCCCCAGUGUCAGCAUCAGCCAUCAAUUUCCCAUCCUCAAUGGCAGCUACGUCGCACUUUCCAUCAUGAUAAGUAUCCUUAAUGUACUGGACUACUUCUAAAGCUUUAGCUCUCUCUUGGAUAGAUGAGUUGGAACCAUUAAAUUGAAAAAUUUUUGACUUGGUAUCAAGAAUAAAAAUAUCAUCAUGGCUGAGUGAGGAUCGAGCAAAAGGAACCUCUUUUACAUGAACAACGUGUUUUCCUUUGCAAACAAACAAGCGGGUCUGGUGUUCUUCAGGUUCAGCAUGUUUGAACCCAGAUGCAACACCACCUUCUUGAGGUAUAAUACACGGUUUAAAAUAAGAUAGGAACUUCUCUGUUUCAUGGCCCUGUACUUCACGGUACUGUACGGCACGACCUCCAAGCGCUGCAUCAAGUUCAACUGUUUUGAUAGCUGCUGUUCCAGCUUCAUCCUGACUUGUAUCUUUCCCAAUCCAGAAGUGUACGUCAUAGAGAUAAGCGCCCCCCUUGCCAGAUGUUGUCUGCAAAACAAUGUAAGAAUCCCCCAUGUAGAAUUUUCCAUAAUCAGAUUUUGGCAGUGGAACUGGCUGAAAAUUCUCAAUUCGCCAAAUUUCAGUCCCUGGUCUCUGACCCACUCCCUGAAAUGCAGGAUCCAGAGCUUUUGUAGAGCUAGACAUUGCCUGAAAUCCUCCUUAUAACAGCUUUACAGAAAAUUUAGAGUAGAUAGUGUUUAAAACUCCAGCUAUCUGCUAUCUCGAAAGUGCAGAGAGCCCAGAAACCACUCUCCGUAGGUGUCAACGCAGAGUAUGAUGCGAUAGUGUGGGAAAAAGAGAUAGCAAUAAGAAAGGACGAGGUAGCACAGGUGGUGAUAAAGAGAGAAAGGAGGAUGAUACAGUAAGAAAAGGGAAGAAGGAAUGUAAAGAAAAGUGAAUAAUUGCAGUGUUUGGGUUUCUCUCUCUUAUAACUUUAAAGAGAAGGGUGGGUUGGAUUUCUUUAUGAGAUUUGUGAUUUCAGAUAAAGAGAAAGAGAAAGGCAGCCUUGGUAUGGUUUGCGAGAGAGAUAUGGUUCGAGAGAGAGAGAGAGAAAUGGAUGAAUUAUGAGAGAUGAUGAACACAGAAAGAGAUAGAAAUAGAAAUCGAGAGAGAGAGAGAGAGAGAGAG